AUUGAACGCUGGCGGCAGGCCUAACACAUGCAAGUCGAGCGAGCGGCGGACGGGUGAGUAAUGUAUGGGGACUGCCCGAUAGCGGGGGAUAACUACUGGAAACGGUGGCUAAUACCGCAUACUGUCGGAUAACCCAUAUGGGAUUAGCUAGUAGGUAAGGUAAUGGCUUACCUAGGCGACGAGCCCAAGCUGGUCUGAGAGGAUGUGCAACCACACAGGGACUGAGACACGGCCCAGUCUCCUCCGAAGGCAGCAGUGUGGAAUAUUGCACAAUGGGCGCAGUCCUGAUGCAGCCAUGCCGCGUGUAUGAAGAAGGCCCUAGGGUUGUAAGGUACUUUCAGUAGGAAGGCGUUACCGACAGAGGAAGCACCGGCUAACUCCGUGCCAGCAGCCGCGGUAAUAC
rnacentral:rRNA from 1 species